rnacentral:rRNA from 1 species
GUCAACGACAAAGUUGACACGUUGAGAGCACCGGUUCUCGUCCGAUCACCGCAGUUAAGCAACGUUGGGCCCGGUCAGUACUUGCAUGGGUGACCGGCUGGGAAUACCGGGUGUCGCGGCCU